rnacentral:rRNA from 1 species
UAGGGAAUCUUCCACAAUGGACGAAAGUCUGAUGGAACAACGCCGCGUGAGUGAAGAAGGGUUUCGGCUCGUAAAACUCUGUUGUUAAAGAAGAACAUAUCUGAGAGUAACUGUUCAGGUAUUGACGGUAUUUAACCAGAAAGCCACGGCUAACUACGUGCCGA